rnacentral:misc_RNA from 1 species
UGAUUCCUUCCGCAGUGUACACUUGUAGAAGCCUUUGCAGCCACGCAAGUGGUAGAUCUAGGCGACUUUAAACAAUUCUAGGAUCGCUAUGCAAGUCGGCCCACGCAUGUGGUGCCGGCGACACUUUCGAAUUGACGGGGAUACCCUAAAAGCCUGUCGCACCAACUCUGUGUGGGAAACCGCUGGAGGGCCCGUGCUAACUACACGGGGUGGUAACAGACGACACGGAUACCUCCACGCCUUUUUUGGUGUAGAUACCAUGGGCAAUCCGCAGCGAAGCCUCUAAGUCCGGCCGCCGGAUAUGAGGAACGUUCACAGACUAAGUGGAAGUGGGUGGAGCGUUCGCCGCUCUGCUUAAGAUAUAGUCGGUCCCCUUGGGAAACUAAGGGGGUGAGUACACUGCUCGAAAUUUAAACUUGAGCGCAUCUCGGAUAGCGCUCGUGUUAGAAUUUCGGGACCGUCGAUUGCCUCGCGGUUCGACGGCUCUUAAAACGUUCCGUAGGUGAACCUGCGGAAGGAUCAUUACAGAAAGUAAACGCGGAUCAAACCGCGAACUUUUAAACCUUUGACGAUUGACUCAUGUUGCCUCGGCGGGUUCUCUCGCCAGAGGAUACAUCAAAACUCCUGUUUUAACGGUGUUGUCUGAGCUACAAGCAACGAAUCAAAACUUUCAACAACGGAUCUCUUGGUUCUGGCAUCGAUGAAGAACGCAGCGAAAUGCGAUAAGUAGUGUGAAUUGCAGAAUUCAGUGAAUCAUCGAAUCUUUGAACGCACAUUGCGCCCCUUGGUAUCCCGAGGGGCAUGCCUGUUCGAGCGUCAUUUCACCACUCAAGCCUGGCUUGGUGUUGGGCGACGUCCCCUUCAGGGACGCGCCUCGAAACGCUCGGCGGCGUGGCACCGGCUUUAAGCGUAGCAGAAUCUUUACGCUUCAAAAGUUGGGGCCCCGUCUGCCGGAAGACCUACUCGCAA